UGGGGAAUCUUGGACAAUGGGCGCAAGCCUGAUCCAGCCAUGCCGCGUGAGUGAAGAAGGCCUUCGGGUUGUAAAGCUCUUUCGGCGGGGACGAAACGGUUCGUGACAACACCACGGACUAAUGACGGUACCCGCAUAAGAAGCACCGGCUAACUACGUGCCAGCAGCCGCGGUAAUACGUAGGGUGCAGGCGUUAAUCGGAAUUACUGGGCGUAAAGGGUGCGCAGGCGGUUUGUUAAGACAGGUGUGAAAUCCCCGGGCUUAACCUGGGAAUUGCGCUUGUAACUGGCAGGCUAGAGUGUGGCAGAGGGGGGUGGAAUUCCACGUGUAGCAGUGAAAUGCGUAGAGAUGUGGAGGAAUACCAAUGGCGAAGGCAGCCCCCUGGGUUAAUACUGACGCUCAUGCACGAAAGCGUGGGGAGCAAACAGGAUUAGAUACCCAAGUAGUCCCUGAGCGGGCUGGCAAGGCGCAU
rnacentral:rRNA from 1 species